rnacentral:tRNA from 1 species
AAGAAUGUAAGUUAAAUAAACUAUUAAUUUUCAAAAUUAAAUAUUAUAUUCUUG